rnacentral:misc_RNA from 1 species
UCCGGUUUGGCACCGGCAGUCUCCCCAGAGUUCCCGGCAUGACCCGCUGGCAACUGAGGACAAGGGUUGCGCUCGUUGCGCCACUUAAGGCAACACCUCACGGCACGAGCUGACGACAGCCAUGCACCACCUGUGCAGGCUCCGUAGAGCACCCGCUUUCACGGGCUUCACCCUGCAUGUCAAGCCCAGGUAAGGCUCUUCGCGUUGCGUCGAAUUAAACCACAUGCUCCACCGCUUGUGCGGGCCCCCGUCAAUUCCUUUGAGUUUCAACCUUGCGGCCGUAGUCCCCAGGCGGUUCACUUAAUGCGUUAGCUGCGGCACCGAGGGAAACCCCCGACACCUAGUGAACAUAGUUUAGGGCCAAGACUAC